rnacentral:rRNA from 1 species
AUGCAGUUGAUGGAAUAUUGCGACCUGUUAGACAAAGCAGAUGAAUGUGAGGAUCCACACAUGCGUAUGGUAUAUGCUUCUACAUGGGCCUUGUCAGCCUACUUAGCCUACCACCGUACGUGGAAGCCUUUCAAUCCCAUCCUUGGAGAGACGUAUGAGAUGAUUAACCACCAGGGUAUUACAUUUAUUGCUGUGCAGAACGAUCAUUUUACUUACGACAUCACAUCAAAGUUGAAGACAAAGUUCUUGGAAAACUCAGUAGCAGUGUAUAUUGGAAGGUAA